rnacentral:rRNA from 1 species
UGCGCAGGUGGUUUGUUAAGUCAGAUGUGAAAGCCCCGAGCUUAACUUGGUAACUGCGUUUGAAACUGGCCAGCUAGAGUCUGUCAGAGGGGGGUAGAAUUCCACGUGUAGCAGUGAAAUGCGCACAGAUGUGUAGGAAUACCAAUGUCGAAGGCAGCCCCCUGGGAUAAGACUGACGCUCAUGCACGAAAGCGUGGGGAGUAAACAGUAUUUAGAUACCCUGGUAGCCCACGCCCUAAACGAUGUCAACUGGUUGUUGGGCAACUUGAUUGUUCAGUAUCGAAGCUAACGCGAGAAGUUUACCGCCUGGGGAGUACGGUCGCAAGAUUAAAACUCAAAAGAAUUGACGGGGAUCCGCACAAGCGGUGGAUGAUGUGGAUUAAUUCGAAGCAGCGCGAAAAGCCUUUCCUGUCCUAGACAUGUACGGAAGUGUGCUGAGAGGUGGAUGUGCCUGAAAGGAGAACCGUAGCACAGGUGCUGCAUGGCUGUCGUCAGCUCGUGUCGUGAGAUGUUGGGAUAAGUCACGCAACGAGCACAAACCUUGCUAUUAAUUGCCAUCAAUAAGUUGGGCCCUUUAAUAGGACUGCUGGUGAUAAACCGGAGGAAGGUGGGGAUGACGUCAAGUCAUCAUGACCCUUAUGGGUAGGGCUUCACACGUCAUACAAUGGCCGGUUCAGAGGGAUGCCAACCCGCGAGGGGGAGCCAAUCUCAGAAAGCCGGUCGUAAUCCGGAUUGUUCUCUGCAACUCGAGAGCAUGAAGUCGGAUUCAGGGGUAUUCGCGGAUCAACAUGUCGCGGAGAACCCUUUAAAAGGGUCU